rnacentral:rRNA from 1 species
AUUGAACGCUGGCGGCAUGCUUUACACAUGCAAGUCGAACGGUAACAGGCCUUCGGGUGCUGACGAGUGGCGAACGGGUGAGUAAUGCAUCGGAACGUGCCCAGAGGUGGGGGAUAACGCAGCGAAAGCUGUGCUAAUACCGCAUGUGAUCUGAGGAUGAAAGCGGGGGACCAGGCAGCAAUGUUUGGCCUCGCGCCUUUGGAGCGGCCGAUGUCAGAUUAGGUAGUUGGUGGGGUAAAGGCCUACCAAGCCGACGAUCUGUAGCUGGUCUGAGAGGACGACCAGCCACACUGGGACUGUGACACGGCCCAGACUCCUACGGGAGGCAGCAGUGGGGAAUUUUGGACAAUGGGCGCAAGCCUGAUCCAGCAAUGCCGCGUGCGGGAAGAAGGCCUUCGGGUUGUAAACCGCUUUUGUACGGAACGAAAAGGCUCUGGCUAAUACCUGGGGCUGAUGACGGUACCGUAAGAAUAAGCACCGGCUAACUACGUG